rnacentral:misc_RNA from 1 species
AAGUCGUAACAAGGUUUCCGUAGGUGAACCUGCGGAAGGAUCAUUACAGUGUUCGCUGCCCUCACGGGUAGCAAACCUCACCCUUGUGUAUUAUAUCUUUGUUGCUUUGGCACGCCGCCUUCGGGUACCGGCUUCGGCUGGCUCGUGCGUGUCAAAGGACCUUAAACUCUGAAUGUUAGUGUCGUCUGAGUACUAUCUAAUAGUUAAAACUUUCAACAACGGAUCUCUUGGCUCUC